GGAAAAAUGAAAGAUCAAUUAAUAGAAUAAAAAAGCAAAGAUUAAACUUUGUACCUUUUGCAUAAUGGUUUAGCUAGUUAACACGGACAAAAAGAAUUUACGCCAGACCCCAAAAUUAAGUGAGCUACUAUAAAACAGUUAAUUAUGAACCAACUCCUCUAUGAAGCAAAAUAGUGAGAAGAUUUUAUAGUAGAAGUGAAAAACCUAUCGAACUUAAUGAUAGCUGGUUAUCCAAAAUAUGAAUUUUAGUUCAACCUUAAGUUUAAUAUAAAGUUUUAAUAUAAAAAUAUAAAAUAAUAUAAAUAUAUAAAUAUAAUAUAAAAAUUUAAUAUAAAGUUUAAUAUAAAUUUUAACAACUUAAGCAUAUCAUAAACUUAAUAGUUAAUCAAAUGAGGGACAACUCAUUUGAUCCAGUAGACAGACUCCAUUAGAGAGUGACUAAAUGACUAAUUUAAUCCCAUUGUAGGCCUAAAAGCAGCCACCAAUUAAGAAAGCAUUAAAGCUCAUAUACAAAAUUUAAUUUAAUCCAUAAAAUUAUCAAAACUCCUAAUAUAAUAUCGAAUGAUUCUAUUUAAUUAUAGAAGACAUAAUGCUAAAAUCAGUAAUAAGAAUUCAUUCUCCUCGGGUAAACCUAAAUUAGCCAAGGGAUAAUCCACUAACACUUAACAAAAUAGUAAUUAUAAAUAUUAACCAGUAAAUUACCUCAAUUAUUGUUAAUCCAACACAGGCAUGUGUCAUUACAAGGACAGAUUAAAAAGAAUAAAAGAAAUUUGGUAAUCCAAAACCCCGCCUGUUUACCAAAAACAUCACCUCUAGCAUUUUAAGUAUUAGAGGAACUGCCUGCCCAGUGAGUUAACUUCAAGGGCUGUGGUAUCCUGACCGUGCAAAGGUAGCAUAAUCACUUGUCUCCUAAAUAGAAAUUUGUAUGAAUGGCAAAAUGAGGGUUUGACUGUCUCUUUUUCUCAAUCAAUGAAAUUGACCUACCCGUGCAAAGGCGGGUAUAAAACGAGAAGACCCUGUGGAGCUUAAAAUUACAACUUAAAUACAUAUACUUUAUUCUCCUAAGGGAGAAUUCUCCUAACUUAUAGAAACUUUAAGUUGAAUUUUUGGUUGGGGUGACCUCGGAGCACAAGAAAACCUCCGAAUGACAUAACUAAGAUUAACCAAUCCAAGUGCCAUAAGCCAGUAAUUGACCCAAAUUUUGAUCAACGGAACAAGUUAUCCCAGGGAUAACAGCGCAAUCCUAUUUAAGAGCCCAUAUCGACAAUUAGGGUUUACGACCUCGAUGUUGGAUCAGGACACCCCAAUGGUGCAGCCGCUAUUAAAGGUACGUUUGUUCAAUGAUUAAAGUCCUACAUGAUCUGAGUUCAGACCGUCUCCAGAUCAGUUUCUAUCUAUACAAUUAUUUCUCCCA
rnacentral:ncRNA from 1 species